CUGCUUUAUUUCCCAAACUCCCCCCUGUACAUAGUUGUAUAUCCUAGUUGCAGGUCCUUCUAGUUGUGGAAUGUGGGACGCCACCUCAACGUGGCCUGACAAGUGACGCCAUGUCCGCGCCCAGGAUCCGAACCCUGGACCGCAGCAGUGGAGCGCAUGAACUUAACCACUCAGCCACGGACCCGGCCCCAACAGACACUUUUCUAAAUACUGGAUGCAACACAGUGAGAGAGCGAGAGAGAGAACUCCUACCCCUAUGGAGCUUACAUUCUAAUGGAGAUGGAAGAUAAACUUUUAAAAUUUUUAUAUUAUAAGAACUUAGUGCAAGCUACAAAGAAGAGGGGCAACUGCUUUUCUUUAGCAAGGUAAGGUAAAAUAAGUCGGUCUGCUCUUUCAGUGUAAACAUGUGAAACGUAAUCAUGCAAUGAUAGAUAUAAGAUCAUAUGAGUGUCCAUUGAUCUUACACUGCUUCUGGGCCUUGGCUGUUUAAUUAAAGAAGUCCCAACUUAUUAGCCAAUUCUAGCCUUUUUACAAAAUAAAACAUUCUGACGAAGAAGAUUUUAUUGAAGGAAUUGGAGCUUCAAUGCCCUUUGGAAUCACAUGCAAUUUUAGGGUUCUAUGGUUAUGGUCAUCAUCAGCAAACAAUCUUUUAGUAUCCUCAAUGUGCAAAAUAUCUCCUAGACCAAGGGAAACCAAUAAGAUAAGAUUUUAUUUAAAAGGCUAAAAUCUAAUAAUAAAGCAGGACACGCUCACGAAAGGCUGAAUGAUAGAACUAGAUAGCAAGUGCCAAGAUAAUUUAAAUGAUAUAAAAAUGUAAGGACUAUGAAUUCAGAAGAGGUAAUAAUUAUCAAAGACUUGCACUCAAGAAGACUUCAUCGAAGAAGUGAGAAUUAAGCUGGGCCUUGAAGACUUAUACAUUGUAUGGCCAAUAGUCUGUUGUCUUUCUGUUUUAUGUUAGUGCCUUGUUUGGAGGCAAGUUACAUGGGAUACCAUAAUAAUAAUACAUAAGGCAUUCAAAAAGUCUACUUAUGGUUGUUUGAGCACAGGCAUGAAUAGCAGGGAAAGAAAAUUUAAAUACAGAUUGCAGGUUUUCUCUGGAGAAGACAAAUUACUCCUUUACCAUGAAAUGGACCAAAAUAAUUAACCUGCUGCCAGAUUCUAAAGUAUACAAUGCCAUAACUGGUGUCUAGUGUUAGUCAUUGUUGAUAAAUUGUACACUCCAUGCACUCUACAGUGAAGUCAUCCUUGAUGCAGAGACACCCAUAUUGUUGAGUCCACGUAUAACUUUUAUUCUGCUUCCUUACGACAUUGUCUGUUAACUCAUUGAGUCAGCUCGCCUCAAAGAAGGAGGUGAUUAACAUCCAAAUAGAGUCUUUGAGAUCCUUCUGAUAAGAAUUCAUAUAUAAUACAAAUAUUUGCAGGCUUUGGGGUCAUUUUGAGUGAGCCAUUCAUUAAUCUCUUCUCCAGUCUUCUUUGAUACCAAUACUUCAGUUUUUCUUCUUCUACAGCCAUCAUCAUAAAGUUAGAUUAUUAGACACUGCCAAGUAAUUUUUAUAGCUCUUGAUCUCACGCUGUCUCACCUUCUGAGUAGGAUAACCACCUUCUUGAGUUUGUGCCUACUGAGAUGACUCAGAUGUUGUAAUACAAUAGCAACCCGCUUCCACCUAGUGCUGACAUAUCAUGAGAUGCCAGCUAUGGUCCACUUUUGAGAUUUUUUGUCCUCAGCUCACCAGGGAGCAGAAACAGACCAGGAAGUCAUAUGCGUGAUUUAAAAGGGUAACAUCUCAGUAAUAGGCACAUUGUAGUGAAACAUCUUUAUGUUUUAUUCACCAGAAUCACAUCCCAUACUUAUUCCAAAAGUAUUCCU
rnacentral:lncRNA from 1 species